ensembl:lncRNA
AUGCAGAACAGAGAAAUGAAAAAAAUCCUUGAUGCUCAAAAGGAAAAAACUUUGGCAAAAAAGCACAUGUUUGAAAACCUGAAUAUAAAAUUAUUGGACCUGCAGCAUCAGAUAAGUCUGAAUUCCACGGCAAUACAUAAUGAGGAAAUUCUCAUCACAAAACUGAAAGAAAAGAAGGAACAUUUGGAAAAAAAGAUGGAUCUCAAACAGGCAGACAUGGCAGCGGCCUUGGAAAAGAAAAAUCAGAUUGAUUCUGAGCUACUGCUUGCACAAUCAAAAAUUGCACGAGAAAAAGAGGAUUUUGAUCAGGAACUUGGAAAGGCUAAUGAAUAUCUACAAAACGCUGAAUGCCUGAACAACAAACUUAAAUUGGAAAACAAAGCUGUGCACCAGAAGUUUGAGCGAGCACUGGAAGAAGAAAAACACUGGGCCAGAAGAAGAGAUGAGAUGGAGGCAAAAAUGUCCAGGGAAAGUAAUGCAAAGGAACUGGCAUCUCUAGAGCAAAAAUUGAAGGCAGAAAAUAAGAUGAGAGUGAUGCUUCAGUGGAAGCUACUGUACUUAGCAAAGCAAAGCAAACUCUUUUUUUUGGAGGAGGAGAAUAUAAGCAGAAGAGUGAAUGAAAGGAUAGACACUGGUGAGAAAAGGCAUGCUGAAUUACUUCUGGAGACCGAAGAGCUUGAAAAAGAACUUCUUCAGUCUGAAAAGCAAAUCAAAGCGCUGACUGAAGAAGCAAUAAAGAGAAAAAAUGAUUACAGGAGUUAUAAUGAAGAUUUUACUAAUAAAAUAAAAUACCUGGAGGAUGACAUCAGAACUGCAAGUGAAAAUCUUCUUAAAAUAGAACACAAGUUUAAGGUGAGCAGGCUAACUUUGGAAGAAACCCAGAAGGAAAGAGAAGAGAAGUAUGCAGAAUACAAAGAGUUGAGGAAAUCAUUUUUGAAAAAGAAAGAUGAAGAGUUACGAAUCCAAAGAGCCAUUCAGAAAUCAAUCAAGACCACUGGGAUGCUCAAGGAGGAAAUUCUGGAGCUACGGAAGCAAUUGUGCAUCAAGCGUGAUGCUGCAGUCAGCCAGCUGAAACAUCAAACUGAGAGUAUGAAGUUGCUAGAAAGAGACAUCUAUGAGAUCAACAGAAAACUUGACAUUGUGAACACCGAGAACUGCAGAUUCAAAUUAUGCAAUGCACAGAUGAAAGAAGAUAUCCUGGCAAUGAAUUCUGAAGCAGAAGGCCACCAGUCAGCAAUAGUGAAAAUUGGGCAUGACCUGGCAGUGCUUCAUGGUAAUCUUAAUUACAGCUUCCAAACAAAAAGUUUGGUAUUUCAGCCUUUGUAUCUUCUUCACAGAACAACCUACCAUAACUUAACUGUUAACUCUGUUGCAGGUUUUCUGCUGGAGAGAUGGUCAGAGGACAGCUCUCUUCAGAAGGAAUUUCUGGAGAAUGAGCAGGAAAUUCUGAAUGCAGUGACAGCCCUACUAAGAAAAAUCCAGCAUAGAGAGGAAAAGAUUGGUGACAUUAACAGCAGGCUACAAAAUAGUCUGGAAGGAAUGGAUUCUCUGCUUGAAAAAAAAUCUAGAAUGGAUGAUGAUGGUAAGAUACACCAAAACUUUUUCACUUUGUUUUUUCAGUCCUAG